GCCUUUAUUAACAAGGCGGGCGCCAGCUGGAGCGCGGGGCCCGGGAGAGAGGAGCUGCUGCAGCAGAGGCAGCUGCGGGGAGCUGCCCUCCUGGCCAGGGCAGCAGGUAAACAACAGAGGGCGCCUGGGCCUCAGAGCCCACCCACCCUCAGCCACUGCACCACCGGCCCCCUAGCUUGAUCCCCUCAUCUCUUCUGUUUCUUCCGUGCUGGAGGAAACAGAUGUGAUGACCAGAGGUGCAGCAGCCACCAUGUGACCAUGAGGAGGACAUGUAUAGCUAUGACAGAGCAGGAAAACAGAGAUCCCACGUCCCCAGG
rnacentral:lncRNA from 1 species